CCAAAACUGUGGUUCUCUCUUUUGUUUUCUCUUGGCUUUGUGGAAAAGACCUUCUUCCUUUCUAGAAAACUACCUCUUCUCUCCUUCACUUGGUCUGCAUCAGAACAGAGCAACUCCUUCUCCCUUUCGAAUACGAGAAGAAGAAAAUACAUAAGGGAAAGCAACAGUAAUCAAAUAGAAGAAAAAGAACAAGAAAGUUCCAGAUGAUACCUUUUUAGCCUUCUCUCCUUUUUGCCUCUUGAUGUUUCGGUUUUUCCUUUAAAAAGAGAGACAAUAUAAAAGCUUUUCUUUUUCUUUUGGACACCAAUUCUGGGCCCUUCUAGAACUGUAGUGAUGUCUCCUUUAACAUGUUUUAAUUUCUUUAGUUAAAAAUACUCUCUUCUACAUAGAGGAAAAACAAAAUGGUACAUAUAUAUAUAUAUAUAAUCUUUUCCUUAUUUUGAGUUGAUUAUUAUGUGUUUGUCUCGUGGUUUUCUCCUGAGAAUUUGGCAUUCUCUGCACAUCUCUUCUCAUUCUAUGGUAUUUGCUGUAUCUUCCUUUAUUCUUUUAAGUUCUUGUGCUUUUCAGAAUAUUGGAAUAUUUUCUUGAGAUAUUGUGCAUGAAAAUCAUUUUUUGUCUAUGUGUUGGGUGGAUAUUAAUAUAUCUGUGUUAUUUGGAUUGCUAUAUUUGCUUUUGUAAUUCUUGCGCAUCCAAAUUGCAAGCUGUCAUAAUAAUUUUUAUUGAUUUACCAUGUCAUGUUGUGUGUUUGUCUCGCGGUUUUCUCCCGAGAUUUUGGCAUUCUCUGCACUCUCUUCUCAUUCCAUUGUAUUUGCUGUGUCUUCCUUUAUUCUUUUAAGUUCUUGUGCCUUUUAGAAUAUUUGAAUAUUUUAUUGAUUGGAAUAUUUUCUCGAGAUAUUGUGUAUGAAAAUCCUUUUUUGUCUAUGUGUUGGGUGGAUAUUGAUAUAUUUGUGCUAUUUGGAUUGCUAUAUUUGCGUUUGUAAUUCUUGCGCAUCCAAAUUACAAGCUGUCAUAAUACAACAUUCUUUUUUGGAUAGAUUUCUGUUAAAUCUUUUUAGGAAUAUGCUGUCCAACAGCUCCCAGCACAAUAUCUGACAGAUGGAUCCUUUAGAAAACUGACUGUUGUUGAAGUUAUAUGUUUAAAUUUCCAAAGGUCUCUAGGUUUAGAUGAGCUUGUUCCCCUAGCUCAUGCAGAGCCUUCCAUAGUAUCAUUCCUCUAGAUCUGCACCAGCUAAAGGUUCAGUGGUGAAUCUUCUCUUUUAUCUUCCAGACCACUUGCCUAGAGCAUUUCAAUCUACGGAUGAUCAAUUCAGGCUUUGCAGACUCAAGCGAUUGAAGGUUUUUCAGUCUAGUGUACCCGGCUUCAAGAGCUAGAAGUUGAUGUGGCAUAAAUCCAGAUUAAUGAACGGAUUUCUCUCCGUCACUUAGUUUAGUGGAUCAGCAGGAUUUGGUUCUUUGAGGAUUUUUGUUCCUCCUUCUAUCAGUUGUUUUACAAACUUAUGAUUAUUUGGGUUUUCUAUAGUUUUCUUUUUCUUGUGUUUGGACUUUCGAACUAUAUUUUUGGGAUAUUAUAUACUCUGUUUACCCUUGUCCUGUUGAGACAUCUAGGCGGAGUAUUUUAUAACUAUAGUUUUUUUAUAUCUGUUUACUCUUUGUCCUUUUGAGACAAAAAAUGGGGAGUAUUUUUAGUUUUGGACCAGGAAUGUAUUUUUAACCAGUCAAGUGAUUUUUGUCCUAGAAUGGCCAAAGGGGGAGUUUGUUAGUUUUU